rnacentral:rRNA from 1 species
ACAACUUUUAACGGUGGAUCUCUUGGCUCGUGCAUCGAUGAAGAACGCAGCAAGCUGCGAUACGUAGUGUGAAUUGCAGAAUUCAGUGAAUCAUCGAAUCUUUGAACGC